GACGUAGGGGGCGAGCGUUGUCCGGAUUUAUUGGGCGUAAAGCGUGCGUAGGCGGCUGCGCAAGUCGGGUGUGAAACCCCGGGGCUCAACCCCGGAACUGCAUCCGAUACUGCGUGGCUAGAGGUAGGUAGGGGAGAUCGGAAUUCCUGGUGUAGCGGUGAAAUGCGCAGAUAUCAGGAGGAACACCGGUGGCGAAGGCGGAUCUCUGGGCCUUACCUGACGCUGAGGCGCGAAAGCUAGGGGAGCGAACAGG
rnacentral:rRNA from 1 species